rnacentral:lncRNA from 1 species
GCCUGAACCAAGAACAGAAAAAGAGGUUCGUGGUCUAUUAGGUAGAUUGAACUACAUGUCAUGGUUCACAUCUCCUCUAACAGCCACGUAUGAACCCGUAUGAAAACGGAUCAAACGGUCAGGUGAAAUAAUGAUUGCCAAGGGGCAUUGAGAAAUAAAAGAAUAAGUUGCAGGAACCCCCGAUUCUGAUGCCUCCCUAUGGAAAGAGACUGCUCGAGGGGUCUACGAGGUGUAUUGGG